AAGCGAAACAGGCUUCACCGCCUGUCGCCCUAAGGUCGCGCUUAGGGCCUGAUGAGCCAGCGAAAG
rnacentral:hammerhead_ribozyme from 1 species